UUCAUUGAAACUUUCGCUCGGUGGGACCUGCAAACCAGACACCGGCAAAAAAGGAAAUUCGCUUCUAUAAACUGGAAUAUGUAGACAGAAAAUUCGUGAGAGAAAGAAGAACAAACAGAUGGGUACUUUGGGUCUGUCUAUUUUUUCCCCGUAGCCCGUUGUAACUAGCUCGUGAUGACAGACAUGAAAGAAAACACACUUGAAGAGAAAGAAAGCGACAAUGAAAAUGGCCGGCCGGGUAGUGAAAUCUCCCUGGAUUCCUCGGAUUCUAACAGAAAGAGACCCUCCCUGCGGGGCAGUGCCAAGUUUAGGAGGGUGCCCUCCGCAGCAAAUAGCCAGGGGUCUAUGGAGGACAAAAUGCUGGCCCUGAACGCCCUACUGUCGGACAGCCUGUUGAUCACAGAGUUUCCCGGAAGGAACGGGGAGGUCAGCAGAAACGGGAAAACCGAGGACGACGACACGCUGAAAGACGAGUUUGGCGACGAUCUCAGUGAUGACGAUUUCGAAGAGCUUCCAGAAGAUGGCAGAUCUUCCAGGGAUGUCGACUAUGACACGGAUUUAGAUAUGGACUAUGAUGAAUGGAUCAACGAAGCCAAAAGGGAAAUAGAAAACGACAAAACGGGAGAAAAGAAAUACUUGCACAUGUGUGAGGAAACGGGAGUUAUUCCUGCGUCAUAUUUUCUGAAUCACAUACAAGAAAAAGAAUUCAGUAUGAAAUAUCAUGGACUCGGUCCAAAUGGUGCUAAGGCCAUCGCAUGGCCGCUAAAGACGAAUAAGAAGAUUGAGAAAAUAAACCUGGAAGGCAAUUGGAUUGAAGCCGAAGGAUCAAUAUAUCUGGCGAAGAUGUUGAAAAAUAAUAUUUAUGUCACAGAGCUGCAUUUAGCAGAGAAUAGGAUAGGCAACGAGGGAGCAGAGGCAAUCAGCGACAUGUUACAGAAAAACGACAUGAUCUACUCACUCGAUCUGUCGGGCAACUCCAUUGAAGACUACGGUGCUGAAAAACUAUGUAGAGUGCUUUUGAAAAAUUCCUCUAUCAAACAUCUGUACCUUGCCAACAAUAAGUUCGAGGAAAGGGCGGCUGGCUGGCUCCGAGAGGUCCUGACGAACAAUGAAACACUGGAAACUGUUGAUCUAAGCUGGAAUCAUCUUAGGACAAGGGGAGCUAUCGCCAUUGCAGAGGGUGUUCAGGAGAACUAUGGUCUGCGAAUACUCAAUUUAGCUAUGAAUGGGUUCGCGCAAGACGGAAGUGAAGCAAUGGGGAAAGCAUUGAAAAAUAACCGGACUCUCCUGGAACUGGACCUUAGUCAUAACCGGAUACCCGAGGCAGGGGCCACGGCCAUCAGCCAGGGUCUACAGCAUAACGACACCCUCAAAGUACUCAGGGUGGCGUCCAAUCCUUUGGGAGGUGAGGGACCUCUAGAACUGCUGAAUGUUAUUGCAAAGAACGACAUGAGCGAAAUCCGUGUUCUGGAUUUGACGGACGUUCUAGUUACCCCGGCGUUUAAAGAACUCCAGCAAAGUUUGGAAAAAGACCGAAUCCUCACUGUGUAUUUUGGUAACGUAGUGGGAGAGAUUUUUGAUUUUAGUUCGAUUAGAUUCGAUCCGUUUUGCGACUUCCGUCGAAACCCGAUGUCACUACUCAUUGAAUACUGCAAAGAGGCUGGUUAUAGACUGGUGGACCUAUUUAACGAUUUCGAUAGGGAUGGGAACCAGGUUAUCUCAAAAGAAGAAUUCAUUAUGGGAAUUAAAAAAGCUGGUGUAAAGAUAAGCAUAAGGCAACUUGAAAUUCUCAUUGAGUCUCUGGACAUAAACAAAGAUGGUAAUAUCGACUACAGUUCGAUAUUAAGUUUUGAGGAGGGAAAAUAAAGAACUGGUCAUCGGAGAGAAAACAUACACACAACAAAAAAUAAAGCUGGCCGCGGAGGCGAAGAAACUGGGGAGGAAUGUAUCUUCCACAAAGUUGAUGGAUGAUAUGUACCUAAAGAAGAUGAUCGAUGAAAACUAUGCGUAGACUUUUUGUUGCUUAUCUGGGCAUUGAAACACUGUUACCAUUUUAUGUUCUACAUGUAUCUCUGUUUUUUUUUAUUUAUGAAGAAUUUCAUGCAUCGUGAAGUCAUUGAUUGCAUUCCUGUACUUGAGCAACUUUGCUGGGGGGGGGGGGGGCAUAUGAAAUAGUCACCGAACUCUCUUCUGGUUUUAAUGUUGUUAGAUUGGCAAUCUCAUUGUAGGAUCUUAACUUUUUAACGAUAGAAAAGCUAAUAGGUGCAUGCAUUGUCAGUAUAUGUACAUUGAAAACUUUAUUGUUUUAAUUGGACUUAUUUGAAAGGAAGCGUGUAACGAGCAGAAAAAAAAUUACCGAGAGCGUAAUCAAAAGUUUAUGAACAAUGACAAUUAAGCCCGUUAGAACAUGAAUUGUCUGUAUAAUUUUUAAAGAUGUUUAUAAUUUAUUCAAUAUUUGUUAUAUUUGUGUAUAUGCUGAUUAAAAUAUUCCGUUGAUAAU
rnacentral:misc_RNA from 1 species